rnacentral:tRNA from 1 species
GAGACGCAGCACAGUGGAUAGAGCGCUUGCCUAGCAUGCAAGAGGCCCGGGUUCAUUUCCCAGCACCACA